rnacentral:rRNA from 1 species
UACGUAGGGUGCAAGCGUUGUCCGGAAUUAUUGGGCGUAAAGAGCUCGUAGGCGGUUUGUCGCGUCUGCUGUGAAAACUCGGGGCUCAACUCCGAGCUUGCAGUGGGUACGGGCAGACUAGAGUGCGGUAGGGGAGACUGGAAUUCCUGGUGUAGCGGUGGAAUGCGCAGAUAUCAGGAGGAACACCGGUGGCGAAGGCGGGUCUCUGGGCCGUAACUGACGCUGAGGCGCGAAAGCUAGGGGAGCGAACGGG